rnacentral:rRNA from 1 species
UACGUAGGGGGCAAGCGUUGUCCGGAUUUAUUGGGCGUAAAGAGCUCGUAGGCGGUUCGGUAAGUCGGGUGUGAAACCUCCAGGCUCAACCUGGAGACGCCACCCGAUACUGCUGUGACUAGGGUCCGGUAGGGGAGCGUGGAAUUCCUGGUGUAGCGGUGAAAUGCGCAGAUAUCAGGAGGAACACCAGCGGCGAAGGCGGCGCUCUGGGCCGGAACUGACGCUGAGGAGCGAAAGCGUGGGGAGCAAACAGG